UCCGGUUUAUCACCGGCAGUCCCCUUAGAGUUCCCGGCCAAGCCGAUGGCAACUAAGGGUAAGGGUUGCGCUCGUUACGGGACUUAACCCAACAUCUCACGACACGAGCUGACGACAGCCAUGCAGCACCUGUCACUCGAUUCCCGAAGGCACUCCUCUAUUUCUAGAGGAUUCCGAGGAUGUCAAGAGUAGGUAAGGUUCUUCGCGUUGCAUCGAAUUAAACCACAUGCUCCACCGCUUGUGCGAGCCCCCGUCAAUUCCUUUGAGUUUUAACCUUGCGGCCGUACUCCCCAGGCGGAGAACUUAACGCGUUAGCUUCGACACUAGGAGUAUUCCCCCAACGUCUAGUUCUCAUCGUUGACAGCGUGGACUAC
rnacentral:misc_RNA from 1 species